GCAGACUGGUGAGAACAUCUGUGAGUGAGACAGAUCAAUGUGUUUUUGGGUGGGGCUGGUGGGUGUGUCUUUGGGUGGGGCUGAUGGGCGUGUCUUUGGGCGGGGCCGGUGGGUGUGUCUUUGGGUGGGGCCGGUGGGUAUGUCUUUGAGUGGGGCUGGUGGGUGUGUCUUUUUAGUGGGGCAGAUGGGUGUGUCUUUGAGUGGGGCAGGUGGGUGUGUCUUUGGGUGGGGCAGGUGGGUGUGUCUUUGAGUGGUAUAAAUGGCUGUGUCUCUGGGUGAGGCCAAAGACAUAUCUCUUUUUCAUCCAUGAUCCUUCAAUAAUCCGUUAAUCACCUCUCCAUCAUUUAUUCAUCAUGUAUUUAUCCAUCGAUCCACAGAUUUCCUUUCAAUUACCCAUUGUUCCAUUCAUCCAUCCUGGGUGUGUGUGUGUGUGU
ensembl:lncRNA